rnacentral:rRNA from 1 species
CAAUAGCGUAUAUUAAAGUUGUUGCAGUUAAAAGCUCGUAGUUGGAGUUCAGAGUGAGCUCAGCCGGUCGGCCUUAUGGGUCAGAACUGGUUGACUCUCUCUUGUUUGUGGAUCCCUUCGGAGUUAACUCUUCGGAUGUGGAGUCCACAUCGUUUACCUUGAAAAAUUAGAGUGUUCAAAGCAGGCGUUUGCUUGAAUAUAUUAGCAUGGAAUAAUGGAAUAGGACGCUGGUUCUAUUUUGUUGGUUUUGAGAACCAGAGUAAUGAUUAAUAGGGACAGUUGGGGGCGAUUCAUAUUUCUAUUGUUCAGAGGUGAAAUUACUUGGAUUUAUUGAAAGAUGAACUUCUGCGAAAGCAUUUGUCCAAGGAUGUUUUCUAUUAAUCAAGAACGAAAGUUAGGGGAGUCGAAGACGAUUAGAUACCUACUC